UAUGGAACGGAAUCUAUUUUUAUUUAUAUACUGAGCCGUGCAAUUUAAAAGAAGCACAAAAAGAAGGAAGGAAGCCAUUUUGGACACUAUCGGACCUCGUGGUCAGCGUAAUUAUGACCUAGGAUGAGGACUGGACCACCGCAAGGUCGCUCUCGUAUUUCUGGCUGGACAGCGUCUUGCUACGUGGAAGAGAUAACGACUUGAUACCCAGAGUACAAUAGUCCUACGACGUACGAGUUGGGUGCAUCGGACUGUAUUUCUGAAUGAAUGGACAACAAGCUGGGGAAUUUACGUCUAAACUUCUGGCCACAUUGAAAGUCCAGAAACACCAAAGAAGCAAGUUACUAAGAACCAACAGGUUUUUGUAAUCCAAAGCAACAGGAGAAGAAGACGUAAUUGACUCUGCAUGCUUCGGUGACGUUUUUGAUUGGAAGGAAUAUAUCAAUGUGAUUUAUAUGUGUACGCUAUAUGUUAAUAUUGCAUCCGGCGAUUUACGAGUAUAAGGACUGGCUUCAUUUAAGUAAUCCGGUAAUAAAAGUACCUUAAGUUAGAGAUUAAUAGUAUAUGCGGCUGUGGAUUUCAUUAUUUUAACGUAAAGUUAAAUUUUUAGUAAAUGUAAGAAUAAGAUGAUUGCCGUUUGGGUCUUAGAUAAAGUGUAAUAUUAUAAGCACAAGUGCAAUUUGUAUUAUGCGGUAUUACCUCUUCGAUAGAAUUUUAAAUAAAUUCGUCAUAAAAUACGUUAAAAUCAUAGUAAAAUCAACAUACUGAAUACACAUUUAAGAAAAUAAAAAGUUAAAAUAUUGAAUAGCUUAGUACGAAUAUACCUUGAAAGAUUAUAUAUUAUUGAAAAUUCAUCUUUAUAGUAGUGAUAAUCCUUGUGAAUUAUCUUUAGAAAAAUUAAUAAUAAAAAUAACUUUUAUUUAAUAUUGAAAAAUAACUAUUAAAAUUUAAAUAAAAUGCCAAUAAUAAAUUUUAUUAGAUGUAGAAAUUGUAAUAGACCUAUUCCAAAUGAACAAAAUCUUAAAAAAUUAAGAAAAAUAAUAAUAGGAUCAACAGUUGCAGGAGGAAUUAUAGGAUGUGCCGCACUUCCUUUAUUAGGGUUUGGUUUAGCUGGUAUUUCAGCUGGUUCAAUUGCAGCUUCUUGGCAAGCGUCUAUUGGUGCUGUUACAGCUGGAUCUUUAUUUGCUACUUUACAAUCUUUGGGAGCUACAGGACUAGGUAUACUUUUAUUUGGACCAUCUGGAGCUGCAGUAGGUUUAUUAACUUCUGUAGCAGCAAGAUUAAAUUGGUGCACAUGUAAUCAAAAUGUUUCCUAAUUAUAUUAUUAAAUAUUCUUUUAUUGCUA